rnacentral:rRNA from 1 species
AUUGAACGCUGGCGGCAGGCCUAACACAUGCAAGUCGAACGCGUGGCGGACGGGUGAGUUAUGUGGGGGAAACUGCCUGAUAGAGGGGGCUAACUACUGGAAACUGUAUCUAAUACCACAUACUCUCAUAUACCCCCAGAUGGGUUUAGCUAGUUGGUGGGGUAACGGCUCACCAAGGCGACGAUCCCUAGCUGGUCUGAGAGGAUGACCAGCCACACUGGAACUGAGACAAGGGCCAGACUCCUACGGGAGGCAGCAGUGGGGAAUAUUGCACAAUGGGCGCAAGCCUGAUGCAGCCAUGCCGCGUGUAUGAAGAAGGCCUUCGGGUUGUAAAGUACUUUCAGCGGGGAGGCGUUACCGGCAGAAGAAGCACCGGCUAACUCCGUGCCAGCCGCCGCGGUAAUUC